rnacentral:lncRNA from 1 species
CAGGUUCAAAGCUUGACCCUGGUUUUGCUUUUUAAGUGCUGAUGAUUUUUACAGUUUCCUCCUAUUCUUGUCUAUGCAGAUUAGAAAACUGAUUAUAUAAAAUACAGGAUCAAGUGAGAGGGAGGAGAAUGGAGAAAUAAAUACUCUAUUCAGAGUGUUUCUGGCUUUACUCAUUUGCUGCUUUGAAAACGUGUAUGUGAACAGUCUAGAGAUAGUCAUGGCAAAUCCAUAGGAGAUCAAUAAAGGUACAAAUUAAAUGCUUCUGGUUGUGCUUGACUAACUUGGAAACACAAAACCAACUCCCAAUCAUUAAUUCCUUGUCUAACUGUUUACAGCUUUUCUACUGAGAGCAAGGAGUUACUGGUAGAACACCAGAAACAACUGGAGGAGUCCCCAGGUUUGGAGCAGUCCCUUAGGGCUCAGGAUAACAUUUUCUUACCUCUGGAACCUACAAAUUCAGCUGGAAUGGAACCUAUAGCCACACUCAUUACAGUAGAAGACAAAAAGGGUGCAUUUCUGGUAAGGAUCACCUCUGGAAUUACAUUAAUGCCUAAAGAAAGCGUAACCCAGGUUAUAUUUGCCUUAAGAUAGGACCAACACAAGACUCAUUUGGCAGUUUUAGGAAGUCAAAAUAAGCCUUGUGUGUUGGUUAUGUGCACUUUUUCCUUAAGACAUUAACUCUGUCUCCUAAAUAUUUGUAUUCUAGGAACCUGUGCUGGAGGAAAAGGCACUUCUUUCAAACCCAAACACUGAUCCUAAAGAUAAUGAAGAUAUUAAUCCAUAUGGCAGCAAGUACCCAGUGAAAGGCCUGGGGAUCCUUCCUACUUGGUGUAACUUAUGCCUGGUUCAGGCAGAAAAUACUCUUGAAGGAACAGUUAAAGAAGUGGAAGUGCUUGUCUCUUCUGAGAUCCAUCAGGUGGAUGCCAGUCAAUGUUUGAAGCAUUUGGACCAUAUUUCUCAUGAAGCUUCUGAUGAAGAACUAAAUUUAAAAGCAUUUUCUGAAGGAUUAACUUCCACUGAAUCAUCAUCCAAGUCAAACAACUUCUUUUUGAAAUGUGAAAGUGCCAAAUCAGGCUCUUCACCCCCAGCAUUUCAGAAAGUGUCUGCAGUCGACAUCUCGAACAGUUCCAUUUCAGACCUGGUAUUAGAGCUGAAACAUGGAGAGGACACAGAUGUCAGUGUCCCAGAAGAGU